UCCCACAUUGACUAAGCACCAGGUCCCC
rnacentral:piRNA from 1 species